rnacentral:tRNA from 1 species
CCCUGAUUAGCUCAGGUUGUAGAGCGCCCGACUGGAAAUGGAGAGGUCCCGGGUUCAAUACCCGGACCAAGCG